rnacentral:rRNA from 1 species
CAAUAGCGUAUACUAAAGUUGUUGCAGUUAAAAAGCUCGUAGUUGAAUUUCUGGAUGUGAAAGGUGGUCCGUUCCUCACGGAAUGCGUACUUUCCAUUUAUGUCCAUCCUCGGAGUUAGUGUGUAUUACUUUAAUCGGUCGUGCAUACAACCUCCGUCAUUUACUGUGAGCAAAAUAGAGUGUUCAAAGCAGGCUUAUGCCGUUGAAUAUAUUAGCAUGGAAUAAUAAGAUAUGACUUUGGUCUAUUUUGUUGGUUUGCACUCCAAAGUAAUGAUUAAUAGGGAUAGUUGGGGGUAUUCGUAUUCAAUUGUCAGAGGUGAAAUUCUUGGAUUUAUGGAAGACGACUACUGCGAAAGCAUUUCACGAAGAUUUGUUUACUAAUUGAAUACCGAAAAGUAACGGGGAAAGUUACGGGGAAGUACCGGAAAGUACUAGGAAUUACCCGUACGUAGUAACCGGUACCUUGGACCGAAACGGUCGACCCAAACGGAC